UAAGGAAUAUUGGGCAAUGGACGCAAGUCUGACCCAGCCAUGCCGCGUGAAGGAUGAAGGCCCUAUGGGUUGUAAACUUCUUUUAUACGGGAAAAAACCACCGGUCGUGUAUCGGUGCUGAUGGUACCGUAAGAAUAAGCAUCGGCUAACUCCGUGCCAGCAGCCGCGGUAAUACGGAGGAUGCAAGCGUUAUCCGGAUUCAUUGGGUUUAAAGGGUGCGCAGGCGGAUUAAUAAGUCAGUGGUGAAAUCCUACGGCUCAACUGUAGAACUGCCAUUGAUACUGUUAGUCUUGAGUAUUGUUGAGGUAGGCGGAAUGUGUCAUGUAGCGGUGAAAUGCUUAGAUAUGACACAGAACACCGAUUGCGAAGGCAGCUUACUGGGCCAUUACUGACGCUGAUGCACGAAAGCGUGGGGAGCGAACA
rnacentral:rRNA from 1 species